AUAUGUCCCUUACGAAAGUUCAGUUGACUGUAAGCUACCGAACAUAUGGGAACAAAACUUACUUAUAAUAUGAGUACGUACCUACCCAACCCUAUUUAAUUUAAACAAUAUAUAAUUUUUAACGGAGUUCUGGAAUUAAAAAAGAAAACAAAAUAAAUGCUCAACGUAAGACUAAAUAAAUAAAAACUGAAACACUUAAAUGCGUCAUAAACACCGUCGCGAAAUCAACUGCAGUCAUUUCCACAUACAAAUAAAGGCAGCACACGACGCGGCGAGUGGCGAGUAACAGAGUUAUCUCGAACGGACACGAUGGCCACAAUAAUCGCGGGCUGGCAAACGGCCACAGGAUCACCAUAGCUUACCUACUCUUCGCCUAAGUCGAACCAAUGUUUUAUCUGGAGAUGCUAGCUAUUCGUAAUCAGAGAUCAAACUUAUACUAGUUGAACUGAAAACUGCGCUAUGCAUGUCUUAGAAAUAUAAGCGCAGUAACCGGCACCGCUGUCGCCAAUCUGCUAAGUGAGUUAUCUCGCACGACACAAGUUGCAGCCGAUGAUUUUUGGGAUUCGUAGUCGGCCUAUUUCGACGAAUUAGGGUCGGAACCCGUUUACUGCUAGUGACACCUGGCGUAGCUGGUCUUAAACAAGAAAUAUAAUUGUGGCGUUUAAAUUGGUAUUUAAUGAGCCACUGUAUAUGCACUAUAGAGGAAGUAUUAAAAAACUAGAGUAGCAUACCCAUCUCAGCUGAUAACAAAUAACAUGAUACUUUUAUAAUUUGCCUUAAAUAGAUAAUUUACGUAGUCGUUGAUCAUGGAAAAGGGGUAAAAUCAUCAUAACUAUUUUGGACUUAACCUUGAAGUGAUAAUAAAAAUUAGGGGUGCUUUUAUUAUGAGCAGGGCCCGUACUUUUCAUGCCGUUGACGCAUAUAUGACGUAAUUUAACAUACAGGGAGUUGUUUUACAAUACUACAAAUUUAGAUAAUUUACUUAUUGACGGGUAUCAAAAUAAAUACUUGUUACGAGAAUAAAAGCUUGUUACGCUGUUAAAAAUCAAAAAUAUGUAAUAUAUAAUAAAUUAAUAAUCUAUUAUUUAUUUGAGUGACAAUAAGAUGAAAGUCAGUUAGACGUUUCUGUACUGAUUGUCAAGUAUAUGUAUAAAUUACCUAAAGAGGUUGAUAAAUGAUUAAUUAUUAUGAAAAUACUAAUUGGAAUCAUACUCUAUAUAACGUGACGUCAUUUUUCUGUCAACGGCAUGAAAAGUACGAUCCCUGAUUAUGAGUGAAAUCUGGGCAAAAUAUUUUUCCUCACUGCGAGUUAUAAAUUCCUUUGAAAUCGUUGGAGACUUAGUAAAACGUUUUUUGUUUUUUCCUUAUAAUUUCCGGAGAUACUAAUGUGCGAUUGUGGUACCUAUAGGUAUCAUUGGAAAAAACUACUUACAUAUAAAUCAGUAAAGUCAAAGCAAAGGCGUUAGAAUGCCCAAAUGCAUCAUAUUUCAGUUCUUUAGCAUUUAUUUCAGCUAUGCCAGACAAUCUUAACUUAAUUCAUCAAGUUAGUGGCCACAAGAACACAGCGCCAUUCCAUGAAUGGUCCCCGUCGGACCGGCAGGAGGUCCGCUGCGAUUCACUUAGUAAGAUUAGUUCGGACUCCAUCGAAGGUUUACACCUCGGAACGCGUCCAACAUUACCAACACCCUAAUGCGCUUGGGAAAUCUAUAUGGUGCAAUUUACACGUUCCUUGGAACGGAGAUGGAAAGUAUUGUGAAAUGUAAGUGUAUGUAAAUGGUUCGUCAGUGAAAAACGUGUUGUUUCAUAGUGCAAUAAAAUUUAGAAGUUACAAUAAGAAUAAUACAUCAGAAUAAACGGUAAACCUACACGUUAUUGAGCUCAAUAUCCUCCUAUCGUUCGAGUAUGACCUCCCAGCAUAUUUUAGGAGACGCCAAAUUGAACUCACUUCUUUUUCCUCCUAAUGACUGAGUGUCGUGACCACAUGAAGUCGUUAUUUUGUGCACCAAGGCUCUCCAAUCUGCAGGAUUUUCCGCCUUUCUAAUAAUAAAUAGGCGCCUGUGUAGAUCCCUAGUAGGCCUUUUUUAUUUAUUUUAUUUUAUUUAAAUAUGAAACAAACGGUCAUACAAAAAAUAUUAUAACACUUUCUUCUCUUAAUCUAGAUCUAUAGUUUCCAUGUUUGUUAAACAUACUUUUUACUAUGUCCACCCAGUCCACUAUCCCGACCUCCAUCCACCAUGCCAACCACAAUGCACUUCUGAAAGUUGUCCGGCUCCCGUUUGUUAAGGAUCCGCUGGAGACAAGUGAUUGAUAAGCGGCACUGGAUUUUUAAUUCCGUCAGGAUUGACGCAAAUAUACUUGGUAUGUGUGAAUAUAAACUUAGUUCAAUUUGACGUGCAACCAUCCACACAUACGGAUACAUUGCGGAUAUAAGUAUAUCCGUUUAUUUUGGAUACGGAGCCCUAACAAGACAGGAUAUUCUCAGACGGCUCUUAGUUGUACCAACCAAUAAAAGAAUACGGCAAUCCUAAUAACCAAAAAUUUUAUUACAAACACUAAAUUCUGAAGAGAAAAUUAAUGCAUUCAAACAUAAAGAGAAAGAACGCAAACUAAUUUCCAAGCGGCGAUUAUAAAUAACCUAAGCGACCCAAAGAUAGCUCAGCACUAAUCUUGGAAGUUAAAAAUUAAAUUUAACCAAUAAAAUUCAGCGAGAGAAUCUACGGGCAAAGUUUUAGCUCCCAUCUGAGAUAAGACCGCGCGUCUAGGCUAGUUUCUAUCGAGUGUGGAUUAUUACAAUCAGGGAGUUAGUAAAGAGGGAGCUUAGUUUUGAACAUCCGUCCGACCAUCAGUUUUACAAAGGAAAAUCACUUUCAUGUUUGACUUGAGUGGUUUACAGGCGAAACAGAACUAACUACAUAUCAUUUGUUUGAAUGUUUCAUUGAAUAGUAGAAAUUGCUGACAAUAAAGAAAACGGGCCAAUUACAAACACAAACUGCAGAGUUUGAAACUUAUUGUUCUAAGUCCGUGAGGAAAUAAUAAAAGUAUCAGUGGCUCUCGACGUGGAGGUAUUGGAAUCGAAUAAUAGAACGUGAAACUUGGACUCGCACUGGAGCGCUGACUGGACUAACUCUUAUUGCAAACUCGCGCGACCCGCUACUUAAACGACAACACUCGGCUGUAAACCUGGGUACAGACUGUGUCCUUGUUCAAUAUGUCCUAUUCACAAUAUCUGGACGGCAUUGCCACUUGAAGCAUAUGAUUUGUAAUUUUUUGGCUGGCCGUAAUGUAGCCGCCGUGCAGGUCAGGAUCACGACGAAUCGAAUAAAACUUCGAUUCUUAGUGAAGUGUUAUAAUUUUCCAAACUACUGGUUUAUAAAGGUUUAAUUGCCAAAACGGUUACAUGUAGAAAGUGGUGUUGAUAGUAUGGAGGAUGAUGAAAGAGUGAUUUGCAAUAUUUGAUCUUGAAGUGCACUGUUGUGUACGUAGCUUUACAAGUUCAUAAAUACGCUUAAAGUUGCCACCGUGUUGAAUAAAAGGAAGUAAGAAUCUUUGUUGCCUAAGUAUUUUUUCCAUUCGACUAAGUGUAAGGGAAUGAUGUUACGGCUUAUAUCAAACACCGUCGUAUUUUUGGACCCUACUAUUUGUAACUAAGCGGUGAUGGCCGAAAUGAUAUGACGUCCGACUUUUAAUCCGGAGGUCGCGUGUCGAUCCUGGCUCGUACCAAUGAGUUUUUCGGAACUUAUGUACGAAAUAUCAUUUGAUAUUUACCAGUCGCUUUUCGGUGAAGGAAAACAACGUGCAGAAACCGGACUAAUCCCAACAAGGCCUAGUUUACCCUCUGGGUUGGGACGUCAGAUGGCAGACGCUUUCGUAAAAAACAAGUGCCUGCGCCAAAUCUUGGGAUUAGUUGUCAAGUGGACCCCAGGGUCCCAUGAGCCGUGGCAAAACGCCGGUACAACAGGAGGAAGAAGAAUAUAUUAUUAAAUUGUUUUAUAAGUCUUACUAAUUUAAUGUUAUAACAUUUAAUGUCCCAUAGUUUUUAUGUCGUUCUCAAUAUUAUACUUGGACAAUGCUAUGUACUCCAUAAUUGUCCUAUUAUAUCAGGUGAAGUACUUUAAGAUUAUUGUGAUGUGAUGUAACAUAUAGUAAUAUAUACGAUCUGGUUGUACUUAAUAAAUAAAAAUAAAAAGCAUGUGAAAAGAAUAAGAAUUAUUCAUUAUGGUUAUUCAUUUGUAUAUAAUUAGGUACUCAUAAUUCUCCCAAGAAAUAACGUUUACAUAACCUAGAACAUAUACUAAGUUACUCAAUAUAAGUAACCAAGUAAGCGGAAUAUUUAAUGUUAGUUUAACUUUCAUGUGGCCAGGUUAAACUCUAUAACUAUCGGUCAAGAGCGAACCGACCAUCAUCAACUGAGCCGAGCAUUAAAUAGGGUGAAAAAAUACACUUAAACAGGGUAUUAGAUGUAAUAUGAAAAAAAGAGGCAAACGAACAGACGAAUCGUCUGUUGGAAAGCGAUUACCGUCGCCAAAGGACACCUGCAACACCUGAGGGGUUGUAAGUGCGUUACCGGCCUCUAAAAUGAGAGUACAAUCUUUUCUUGAAGCUUUGAUGUAUGCAUAAAACGUUGUAUUUCUCUUAAAAAUAUAUCUAACAUAAAACUAAUUUAAAACUAAGCUUAAUCACUAAACCUAAAUGUAUCAGAACUUAAAUAUAAAUAUAAACUAAAUAUGUAUAAAAUAACUACCUACUGUCGGGCUGCCCCCGAUGCAAAGGUGCCUUUGCAUCAGGAAAAACCCGAAGCGGGGGUUAAGGCCCCUUUCUAAUUUCUAGUGUUGCUGAAAUUUCACGUGAAGCUAAAAAGAACUCAAAUUUUCUACAAAUUAUUUUUUAUACAAACUAGUCUCACGUAAUAAGCCAAUAAAGGUUUUUGAUGUUUAUUUCUCGAGGCGCGGAACCCUAAUAAUGCACUUUAGUGAAAUUUGCUAGCUUGCCGUAGCCUAUUAGCUAACCUAAUAGCUAUUAGGAGCACUUCCCAAUAAUAGUACUAAUCGACAAAGACGUACGAAAGUCGAUAUGAAGUAUGAAGGGCGUUAGAAACUUUACGCAGAUAUAGCUACAAAGUUUAAUAGGCGGACGGGAAAGAUGUCUUAUGCUUGUUAUUAGUAUUGCUUGUCUAAUAUGAUAGAAGACGAACGGAAAAAAACGAAUUAUUUUAAAUAAUAUUAUAUAAUAUAAAAUUUAUUGAUAUCAAUAUUUCAAUAUUUUUACAUAUAAGCUUGUGAUGAGCUAGUGUUUAAGCUGCAUUGCAUUAUCUACACAGCUAACAAUGAACAUACUAGUUUAACAACAACAGGUUAUACUUUAACUUUUGUUCCUAGAUAAAUGUAACACCUAAUCUUUUACCAAUAAGAAUAAUUAGUCUACAUAGUAAGCAAAUAUGUCUUCAAGUAUGAUGGCACAAUACAAUACAGGUUAGGGUUUUUACGCCGUGCGUCACCGCGCAAAUUAACGGUUUAUACAUAACAAAACCAACACAGCCGGAGCUUUAUCUCGACAUAUUAAUUUCGUAGAUAUCAGGUCAGUUAAAGGACGCGCCGCACUGACACACAUGCACAGAACAUAUCGGUCGGACUCACAUUGUCCCGGUUUCAAUAUGCAUAGCUCAAUACCGGAACCCGAUGCUAGGGGUGACGUUCUCGUAGUUAAGCGAGCGAAGGCGAGUUAUUGCCACAAAACCAGUACAAAUUGGUUAUUGCAGUUCCAACUGUGCCACAAAUUAUUUCCGAAAAUAGUUAACUAGAUUAAAAAACAUCUUAUAGACCGCGAGCCAGGAACAGAUUUCCAUGACCAAUCGCCUUCCGGGCGAAAUCUCGUAUAGUGGUUAUAGACUAUGUAUGGUGAAUCCUUGUGGACGUCAGCAGCCGCUCCAUUGGUGAGUUAAGGAAUGGCAGCCACCGUAACACGUAAAAAAAUUGUCAUCGCCUCCCGUUUGAUAGUUCAGAUGCUAUUGUUAGUUUAAAAAAAAGUCUUCGCUUUACCUUUUUAUGGUAGUAAUAGCAAAAUCAUGAAACUUUGCAUGUAGCAUUCCAUCAGGCGUUUCAAAUUAAUGAAAUAAAUCGCAUACUUUGCGGACAUAAAGUGGUAAGGCGCGUAUUUGUGUAUGUUUAGCUGACGUUCUUUCCAGCGCAAUACAACCGGCUGACUUUUUUAAAAAUUUAAAACAGCAUCUAAACUAUCAUGUGACAAAGUAUCAGCCGGGGGGCGAUGACUGACAAUAUAUGCUCCUGGCCCGCGGUCUAUUAAGAAACCAUUAAACCGACCGAACAAAACGACUUCACAACAGUUUAAAAAAAUGUUUUGAUUUGAAAAGUUCCCUCGAUUUUUCAAGGAUCCCAUUAUCAGAUUAGUACUUCGUGACAAUAGAACAAACUAUGAAAUUUUCAAACCAACAUUUUAGAAAAUUUUGGCAAAACUUUCUGUGGUAAAUCCGGAAACAUACAUUGGACUGACUGGACAACAUGGGGCGCAAGCUCGUCUGUGCUCCGUGAGCGACGAUUGUACUGGACCAGUUCAUUUGUCAACGGCCUCUGUGCUGACAGUGAUGCACCGGCGAUGGACGCUUGCUGACAGAUUAUCAAAGGUUGCGACAAUCGGCCGGGUUCCGCUUCAGGCACCUAGCAAACGUUUAUACGCUCAAAAUUCAUGAAAAAUUCUAUAUGCCUUAAUUAGACUACAUAGAUGAAUGAUUAGAUGUUUCAGGUUCCUAUUUAUAAAAACCUCUUAGAUAUUUGUAAACCGUAUUGGAAUUAGUUAAAAUUGGCAACAAUAUAAUUGUCAGUGUAAUCAUUAUUUGAAAAUGGUUGUUUCUAGGCCUACUUGAAUAAAUAAUGUUAAGUAUUUUAAAUAUUAUUAAUUUGAAGAACAAUGCAUGUUUCAGUCUCAUUUCAGAUCUCUUCGUUUUGGUUGUUAUUAGUUAUUUUUGCGUAAAAUGACGACCUGCAAGACAACAUAACAAUUAUUGCUGCUGAUUUAACAUUUUGUGUAGUUCUUCUAACAGCACUGAACACCAUUCCCGUCGUGUAAAAACUAUUAUUUUGACUACGUGGAAAAGCACCAAUAAAUGCAGAAAAUCAAACAAAAGGCCAUUUCGCAUACGAUGCUGCAAAUUAAAUCCCCAUUCGUGGAGGCCGACUUGGGAUAUGUGGAAAGAGCGCUCGGCGAUAUCAUUAUGAUGAUAAUAACAUGUUUUAUGUUUGUAGCCGAUUUCAUAUAUUUUCUAUGAAUGUGUUAGUCCAAAAAUACAAGAAAAAUAAUAUUAGUAAGCUUUUAAAAGAAAUUGUCUUGUAUUUAAUAUUAUGCAUUAAUAACCGCAACGGACAUCCAUUAAAAAUACAAUCAGUAAUCGGCGAGUUGUAUGCCACAACGCGGUAUUUCAAAUUGUAGUAGUAUGAAUAAGCCUUUAAUUUAGGCCUUUUAAACUCUUCGAAAAAAAUGAUAUAUAAGUGUAGGUAAUAUAUUUAACUACAAACGACUACAUUAAAUAUGCAGUUGUUGAGCCAUUCACGUUUCACGUUUGGUGCAAGUUUAUUCGCCCCGAGUUGCAACCAAACCAAAACGCCGCGCCGAUCACUGCACAUGAUGCAACGUGUAUUCUGCCGAAUACACGUUGCAUCAUGUGCAGGGAUUAUGCGAUAUUGCGAGUGAUAUUACGUUGGUCAUGUGCGUAUUGGAUAUAAAUUCGAAAUUUAUUUCAUGACGCGUAACUGUUUGUUAACUAUAUGAAUACCAAAAAAAUAAUAUUGAAGUGUGUUAAAAAUCAUCAUCCGCUCCUCGUAUAAGUUUGAAUCGCACGUGUUCAGUAAUCCACGGUGUCGUCCGACGCCAUUGUCGUCCGCUCGUGCCGGGCUUAAGGGCUUCGCGAGCCGACUCCACGGACAUUUCGUAAAUUAAUAACCAAUCACGCCGAUACUUCGGGAAUAUUAACGCCGGCAGCUUAUCGGGGAAUGGGAUGUACUGCGCGUUCAACACGGAGGUAGGUUAAUAUAAAAUUUUGGUACUUUCAAGAUGUAUGCAUUGAAUCUAGCAGGUCAGUUUUACCGUUAGAAUCGACGAGUAGUAACGGAUGAGGCAGAUUGUACUCGCAGAAAGCAAGAAACAGUUCAGACAAAAUAAAACCAGCAAUAUUUUAUUUGAAAAUUUGUGAUUUUUUGCCAAUUAUAAUUUACAUUUCGGAAUUUAAUGUCGCUGCGUUACUAACAUUAUAUACCUAGCAGUCAAGUUUAGCUACAGUUACCAAUCCAAUAUAUAUGGUAACGUGGUUAUCUCAUCACACCGACGCAGAGUACAGAUCUAAUGUGAAGACCGCAUAAAGCGCAGGGCAUACCUCUACUGGCUGGCACGCUAAUUUACGUUUGGGUGACCUAAAUGUGUUUUUUUUAUGAUAGAGGAGGCAAACGAGCAGACGGAUCACCUGAUUCUAAAUGUGACAAUUACAUUCUUUUGAUUUUCCUCAUGUCAACAAUUCUAUUCUUGUAAAAGUAUAACAACAUUUAAUUACGUGGUUAACUGGGAGUUUAACCUAUUUUAAUAACAUUUAGAUGACCCCGACGUGAAUCCGGUGUGUGUGUUGUACUGCAACUAGACAAGAUAUGAAUGGUCUGUGUUGCUUUUUGUUGUUCCAUCUUAACGCAAUCAAAGCUUGACUCCAGGAUAUUAAAGUUCAAAACUUAAUGCCGUAGGUGAUUAAUUUGUAGGUCAACAAGAGACAAAACUCAUUAUAACUAAGUUAACUAACUGAGGCACGUUAACUUUUAUGUAUAAGAGAACAACAAUGCGUUCCCUAAUUGUAGCUUCUGAAAUCGUCAUAUUAAGGAAUAUCGGCACGUGAACGUGACGAAUUAUAAUCUGUGCGAGCCGUAAUCCCCUUGCAGCGGCGCGCGGCAUGAAUCAAGGCUGUACCGAUGCACCGUGUUGUUUCUGCAUGCCUAGUGCCGAAUGUUUGUUAUACCUAACAACUGGAAUAUAUUGCUCGGCAUUCUGGUAUACACCAUCGUGACCUUAUUUAUUACCUUACCUACUAUAAAAAAACCGGACAAGUGCGAGUCCGACUCGCCCACCGAGGGUUCCGUGUAAGUUUAACUUUUUGUUAAUAAAAUAUAGUUUUGAGAUUUUUUCCCUGUACUUGUAGUGUAAGACGAUAUUACUUGCCAAAUUUCAUAGUUCUAAGUCAACGGGAUGUACCCUAUACAUUUUGAUUCCCUUGAGAGUGUCGAAAAAUACGUUUUUUCGCGGCAUAUCUUUUUUUCCGUUAUCAUAGAAAUUUGUUUUUUUUUUUUACAGCUUCAAAGGGACUGUAAACUUGAGUAUAAGCAUAUGAUUUCAAUUUCAACUAGAUACCUCAACGUGUUGUCGAGAUCAAGGGUAUUGACAGACAGACGGACGAACAACAAAGGGUUCCAUUUUAUCCAUUUGAGGUACGGAACCCUAAAAAGACAGAACAUUCACGAAUGCUGUCAUUAUUUAGAUUUCUCACCGCCGUUUUACAAUUACACUAUAAAUGGCCAGAUUAAGUGUUUACUUACAUUGUUUACAAUUGUUGUUUUUUUUUUUAACUUUGCCCCUGUGUAUACCUUUGCCCAAAAAGACAUUUUUUAAACAAAUGUAUUUAUAUAGCCACGUGUAAAACAGUUAUAGCAACAACCUUGCAAUAAAAAACACUGUUUAGUAGUUCAAUAUCAUAAAACAAAGGUGCCACAAUAUGGUCCAAACAAGUUAUAAAAUUCAUUUGAAUACAAUAACAAAGUUAAAGCAAAUCUGGCGGACGGCGCGCAGAAUUCGAGGUGUCGGGGCCGGCGCACUCCAUUUGAUUGGGCAUUGUUUCGGGCGGCCCGACGUUAAUACGCUGCACUGGAUGCGAUGCGAAUCCAAUUUUGGGCCACGCAACCUGAGCGACCUAUCCACUACUAACGCUCUUAUUCUCUUACCUGCCACUAUGAUUGCUUUAAAAAUGAACUUUAUAUAGCAAACGACACGGCCCCUAUUACAGUCAUACGUGAGUAUCCGUUACGAGGUUUACAGAGCGAGUAUUAGAUAUCCUCUGCCUGAUAUGUAUUAGUAUUCAGAGCGAGAGCGGCUGUACGUGCUCGCGGGGAACGUGAUGCGAGCAAACAAAACACGGGCGUACUUGAAAUAGACCUGAUUCUGAGAUUCCUCAGGCUUUUGUCGUACCCAUUCAUUCUCAGAGAAAAACCGGACGGUGGCCUGGAUUUCGAAACGAUAAUGGACUAAAGGUUACCUACCUUUUAAAACAUUCCAUGAACUUUUUCUUAGCUUUCACUAUAAGCAUUGUAUGCAAUUAACAACGAUUGGUGCACAUUUCAUGUCAUGUCAAAUUAUGCGAGUAACAGGAACAUUUCCGCAGGGAAUAUUGUCGGCAUCACGGCUAGUCGAUUUCAGGUCACUUUUGACACUCUAU